AGUAAAAUGGCUGAAGUAUAAGGCGAUAAAUUGUAAAUUUAUUAAUAAAAGAUUUUUUUUUACUA
rnacentral:tRNA from 1 species